rnacentral:rRNA from 1 species
GACGAACGCUGGCGGCGUGCUUAACACAUGCAAGUCGAACGGACAGGCCAUGCUUUUGUGGGGCGCUCGAGUGGCGAACGGGUGAGUAACACGUGAGUAAACUGUCCCUGUCUUUGGGAUAAAUUCUGGAAACUGGGGCUAUUACCGGGUAUGAGCUCUUGAUGCACGGUGGGGGUUGGUGAGUUUCGGUGGUUGGGGAUGGUCUAGCGGCUUAUGCGCUUGUUGGUGAGGUAGUGGCAUACCAAGGCUUUGACGGGUAGCCGACCUGAGAGGGUGACCGGCCACAAGGGGACUGAGAGACGGCGCAGACGGCUACGUGAGGCAGCGGUGGAGAGUAUGGCGCAACGGGGGGGAGCCAGAUGCAGCAGCGCCGCGAGCGGGAUGACGUCCUUCGAGUGGUAAACCGAUGUCGCCGGAGAUGUGGCGUUAUUGACGGUAAUGGGUAAAGAAGCACCGGCUAACUACGUG